UACGUAGGGGGCAAGCGUUGUCCGGAAUCAUUGGGCGUAAAGCGCGUGUAGGCGGUUCAGUAAGUCUGCUGUGAAAGUCCAGGGCUCAACCCUGGGAUGCCGGUGGAUACUGCUGGGCUAGAGUACGGAAGAGGCGAGUGGAAUUCCCGGUGUAGCGGUGAAAUGCGCAGAUAUCAGGAGGAACACCGGUGGCGAAGGCGGGUCUCUGGGCCGUAACUGACGCUGAGGAGCGAAAGCGUGGGGAGCGAACAGG
rnacentral:rRNA from 1 species